rnacentral:rRNA from 1 species
UGGGUAACCUGCCUCAAAGAGGGGAAUAGCCUCCCGUAAGGGAGAUUAAUACCGCAUAAUAUGUUUAAGUCGCAUGACUUUAACAUCAAAGGAUUUUCUUUAGAAAUUCCACUUUGAGAUGGACCCGCGGCGCAUUAGCUAGUUGGUGAGGUAACGGCUCACCAAGGCAACGAUGC